CUCGGCUGCCUGCCUCCCUCCCUGGGCCGGGAAUCGGGAUCGGGAUCGGGAUCCACAUCGCCCCUGCAGCCGGGCGGAGAAUGCGUGGGAAAGAUUUCUCACAACUGGGCAGAAAAGCUAAAGACUGGCGGCAUGGCAGCGGGCAUUAGGUUCGUCACCUCCUGUGAGGAAAAGGUACUGGGGGGAACUGUUCAUUUGGAGAUGCAAGACCUUCAUUAGCAACCAACCAAGGACCAGUGGAACCCAGCAAUCUACCUGGAGAAAGAGACCAACACUGGAAAUCCUUCACUCUACUUCCACCUCUGAGGAGGAAGCCACUCAAUUCAUUCAGGGUUAAAUGACAAGGCUUUCAUCUGCAUCCUCCAGAAGUUCAGAGACUUUGAUCUAGGUUAAUAACAUUUGACGAGCACAUUACUGACCACAAUACUGUUCAAGAGUUGUUGCAUCAUUGCAUUCUCACUUUCAGCUUUUCAAGGGAGCACACUGCAAUUCAAGCUGGUCAAGAAAGUAAGAACCCAGGUCUCUGGCAUUCAGUGGACCUCCAAUGAUGAGGCUCCUGCUCAACCUGAAGCAGAUGACCAUCUAUUGGCCAUUAACGACUUUGGCAAAAUGUACAGAGAGAGUUAGGAACAUCAGACAGGCUUGUCAGGGCCAAUUCAUAAACUGGAUUGAAGGUGAAAGGAGUCCACCAAUGUUAUCAGUUUUCUUCCAGUUCCAGCAUGCAUGCAGCUAGCUGUCUCCAUCAACAAGUCCAGCAUGCUCACUCUGCCAGAUAUACACACAGACCCACUGCACUGCUCAGCAUCAUUGGCAGACAAGAGGAAUACAAGGGACCUCAAUCUCAUAGGUUGGUGCCAACAGAUGGCCACAGGGAGGAGGAUCCACAUAAGGACUCCCAUAAGCUUCCUCUCCAGAUACUACAGACUCUUCGCUCACUCUUCCUCCCCCCUUGUCUGUGUUGGUGAAGCCUGCAUUAGUCUAAGCCAAGGAGGGGGAGCCCGCAUCUAGGCAGGACACUGUCAGCAGGCCUAGUCCUUCUAGGCGCAAAUACCCCUGGGCCAAGUCUUCCAGGCCAGUAAGACCUAUUGAGGAACAGGCAUCUUCCACCAGCUAUGAAAGCCAGGACUGCACGUCAUGGUUGUGGGAGGGUAAAAAACAAAAAAAAAACAACUGCCAAGACAUAGGUGCUCAGGUGACACAGCAGUGUAAAUAAUUUUACACUUUUGGAAAAAUGUGUUCACACACACACCAAAAAUGUCUGCUGUAGUCAUUUUGUAGCUGUUAUGUCUGGUAAAGUCUCACCCAUUUAAUGUCUUUUUCAGAAAUCCCAAAAUUGAAAGAAGGUGUAAUCAACAAGUAUUAUUUAUCUCUUACAAGCAACCAACUCCUUUUUCUGUCACAUUGCUGACUGCAGCCAAAGCAUUGCAUUUUAAAGAAGACAACACUGACGCUUAAAAAAACUUUCUAAUUUGUGGUCGGCUCUGCCCUACAUAGAUCGUCCACACCUAUACUUACCCUAUGAGUGACAGGACUCAAUUAGAGAUGAUUCCACACGUCUCUGAAGAUGUUGUUGCAUUCUAGCUUUCAGCUUUUCAAGGGAGCAUAUUGUCUUUGAAGCUGAAGUGCUGCACAAUGGGAAGUUCAUGUUUCCACUGUACCACCUCCCCCUCCCCACCCCCCCCAAUUCAGUGGUCCUUUGAAAGAAACUGCUCACAGCGCAACAUCUCUCAUCCUCCAGGAUGCUCAAAUGUUUGAUGAGUGGCACGGUGGUUGGCAUUGCUACCUCGCAGCACCAUGGACCUGGAUUCAAUUCCACCCUCAAGUGACUGUCUGUCUGUCUUCCUGUGUCUAUGGAAAGCAACUUUGCAGAAUUAUGCAAGUUGUAAGUAUCCCUGAGUUCAAAAGUGGGGCCUGAAGCGUUCAAGUGAUCUGUGAGUUGGUCUGAAAGUAGCCCUAAUGAUGUGGCUGCAAUAGGGUUAAUUUUUCAAGGAGGUAGAGGAGAUUCAGAAGCUGUAUAGAAAUGAGGCAAGAUUCACUAAUAAUGAGAUGCAAAUAUAAGAAAAUAAGAUAGUUGCUAUUUAGUAGAGAACCCAGCGUUUAACUCUAAGGGGAAAAUUGGGAAUUUUUCUUAAUGUUGAGAAUUUAAUUUUAAAUUUUUACUAAAUCUUCCCAACUUUCCUGCCAUUGCCCAUGUUUCUUGAGAGUACAGAAAAUACUAUUGUUUGCUUCUGUUCUUGAAAGUGUGAAGUCUGAAAAACCCCUUUAAAUUGGAGGAACGUUUAGCACUUGGAUCUCCAUUGCUGAUGGCAUCUUUCUUGAUGAAGCAGGAGUUGUUCCAUUUUAAUAUCUGGAGGACAUUUGCUCUCAUGAAUUUGGUUUGUGUUGAAUGGCUAUCCUGUUAAAACAGGUACUUUAUUUUUUAUGCAUUUUUGGUCUUCUUGACAGUAUCCUCGAUCCCUGGGUCAAGCAAAUUAAUCUUGACUAUGUCCUGAUUCCAUGACAUUGGUUGUCCCAUCUCAGUGUUGGCUUCAAUGGAGUUGUGUGUGCCACACCCUCAGUUUAGCAGAUUUUUAAUUUCAGUUUACUGACAAACCAUGAAGUACACAGAGUUUUCAUUUCAACUUGUUCAUUAAGUUUUAAUACAUUUUUUGCCUACACUAGUUCCAUUACUGGUGAAAUCAAUAUGUUACACUCCUCUGUUAUGAUAUUUUGUCACUGAGGAUUAUUCCUGGGGAGAUAAAAAAAAAUUAUCUGUUUGAACAUCUUCCCAGUCACCUCAGCAUCUGACAUAACUGUGUGUUCACCAAUGUAUGUUACACUUUGUUACAUCAAUUAAAGAUUUGUCAGUUAACUCAAA